CAGCAAAUAUAAACAUAAUUUAUUGCCCAUAAGUGAAGCAUUAUUGAAUACUCCAUUCAAGAGAUGGAUCACACACAUUAUGAUUCUCUCAACAAAACAAUAGGAUAUAAUCAGAAAGAAUGAACUUGUUGCAUCAACAUAGAAUUCAAAAUUAGUCAAACAGUGCAUUUCUUCAUGGCAUGCAACACAAAGUUCAUCCUCGGUAAAAGAAAGCGCAUAAAACAAUCAUGUUUCCAUUGACUAAUAAUGCAAUCGCUUCAGUGUUAUCGGUUUUCAUCAAACAUUCUCCCGUCUUCCAUCCAAUAUCCCUACUAUUGCAGGAAGUGUCAGUAACCUGCAGAAAAAUACAAUCUCUUUAACAAUAAGAAAGAAGUGGCAAGGUCAACUUUGCAUUAUACAUGCAAAUAUAAGUAAACUGUUAAAGUGAUAAUAAAUGAAGGCCCUGAAAUAAAGUAAAUAGCGUAGCGACAAUGUCAAUUACCAAAGAAAAAAGGUAAAAGGCAAAAUUAAAAGCUGGCAAAGUAAAGGUAUGGUUUUAAUCUACUCCCUCGCCUAAUAUACGACCUUUUAGCGAUUUCACUAUUGACUACAAACAUAUAUACUAUAAUGAGUGAAUAUAGUCAUAUACACACUAAACUGUGUCUAGAUAUAUACGAAUCAAGAAAAAGCUAAAAGAUCUUAUAUUAGGGAACAAAGGGAGUAGUAUGCGGCACCAACACAGAUGUGGACCAAUUGGACAGGGAGGUAGUUGAAUUAUUAUAAAUGCUAAUGCGCAGUGGUGGUACCUCUCUAUACUUGGCAGACACGUAUCUAGCAUGCCGGGUUUUGCAUGAUCUGUUAUUUCAUUUUCAUAGGUUUCAAUACUAAUCGGAGAAAAGAAAAGUUCCUCCGUGCUACUCUGUUUGACUCACAAAAUAGACUGGCAAAGAUACUACUCAAGGUUUUUCUUUUUUUCGAGAAAUAACCACUCCGCUUUUGACACGGCAAAAUCAAAUGUGGAACUCUUUCAACAUUAGCAUAGUUGGUACCUUAGCUGAGGGUCUUGUGAUGUUGCCAUGUUUUGUUUUAAGCUGAAUCUUUCGGCUUCAAAGUAAUUAGUUAGUGCUCAAAUAGUCAGCAUUAAUCAAAGGUGUAAACAGACUGUAAAGUAAACAAGUUGCAAUGACCUUCUUCAUCACUUAUGUAGAUUGGAUUACUGAUGCCUUUCCCUAUCAUACUGUAACAUGUACUAAAGGUCUGGAAAUGGCGUGCACACAGGAAGCUAUAUUGUGCCCGAAACUACAGUUUCCGGAAUUUGCAUACAGGUUCCAUUACUCUGUUGGGAAGCAUAAACCAUUGAUCUAUACAGUAAAUUGCUUUUUCUUGAAUUUGCAUAUAAGCUUGGGUUUGUAGUAACCAAACAAUACUCAGUGGCACACAAAACUAAAAGGUACUUCCUUUGUCCCAAAUUGGAGGUAGUAUGUUGCUUGGUGGGCAAUGGCAUGUAUGUAAAUAGAGAUAGAAAACAGAAACGGAAAUAGAAUUGAAAGAGUAAGUGACCAGAUUGUGAACCUAAACAAAAGAAUAUACAAUGGGCAUGCAUCAAAAUAUAUUUAAGUUAAUAAAUGGCAACACAUAUAUAUUAAACAACCUAAACGGAAAGAAUGUACAAAGAACAAGCAUGAAAAUAUAUUUAAGUUAAUGAAUGGCAUCACAUUAUAUAUUAACCAAAAUACAAUAGUCGUCCUAAAGCCAAUAUAAAAAACCAACUAAUAAACCUGAAAGUAGGAAUCGACAUUGCAUUAAUAUCAAAAUCUAAUUGUUCGGCAAUGAAGCAAGUAGCUUGAGCGACUCUAAGUGCGCUUUGUCUUUCCCUUUGCAAGUGUGAUACGUACUAAGCUGUGUUUAAAUAUCUACCAAAAAAGUAUGGCGAUGACGAAGCUGAUACAAAAAGGCCAGCAACUCCUAGUGCAAAUCACAACUGCAAAAUGUUCAAACCAACUAUUUGCUCAGAUGUUGCAACCAUCCUGGCAUCCUGCACAACCAAUACUUUCUACCAUACCAUGAAACACCUAUAUCCCAAAGAAUGUAAGCCAUUACCCUAAUAUGUAAGGCUACUAUUACAGAAAGGAACAUUACCUAGUACUUGGCUGGGCAGAUGGCUACAUAGCUAUUUCAUGCUUCUAAGUAGUUAUACAUGGUCCUUGCAGAAUAAUGCCUAAAAAACAACUUCCUUGAACAAUAGGGAACACAACACAUACAAUAGCCUCAAAGCACUGUAGAUCUCUCUAAACUAAACCAUGCUCAUAGUAAGUAAAUAGAGGAGCACAAAAGGCAUACCGGCAAUAGAGCCAGAUCGUCAAGUGUCUUCCUUUUCUGAAUAUCCAAGAGAAACCAUUGUCAGUUUUUUUCACAAACUCCCAUGAGCCUUGGGAACAGCAAAACAACCCUAAAGAGCAUAAUCAUAUUAUUUCAUGGAAGAAAUUUUUAGGAAACUAACAAAUCUACUCUUUUAACAACUUCCUACCUAGAGUCUAAGAGACUGCAGAUAGCAAGUAGAUCAAAACAAAAUCAAACUGAAAUCAGAUCAUAGAACAUCGAGUUCGCGCCGACGGC
rnacentral:lncRNA from 1 species